UUAAUGGCCGUGUUUUGUCGAUGCGACGUUAAAGAGUAGAAGAAGAGGAGAUAGGGGUUGGCCUUAAAGACAGUCCGAGAAACCCUUUAGGCGAACUCUAACCGUUCGCAGAUACAUCAGGGAUCAAUACGGACGAUUUCCUUUACUGCAGGGUACAGGUAUAUCGGAUCAUUUGGCCGACGACGAAGGAACAGUGGAACACGGGUUUCGCUCAUCGAUGGAAAACUGGCCGCCUGCUUUCACGAGGCAACUAUAAAUUUUUCUU
rnacentral:misc_RNA from 1 species